AGAGUUUGAUCCUGGCUCAGGACGAACGCUGGCGGCGUGCCUAAUACAUGCAAGUCGAGCGGACAGAAGGGAGCUUGCUCCCGGAUGUUAGCGGCGGACGGGUGAGUAACACGUGGGUAACCUGCCUGUAAGACUGGGAUAACUCCGGGAAACCGGAGCUAAUACCGGAUAGUUCCUUGAACCGCAUGGUUCAAGGAUGAAAGACGGUUUCGGCUGUCACUUACAGAUGGACCCGCGGCGCAUUAGCUAGUUGGUGAGGUAACGGCUCACCAAGGCGACGAUGCGUAGCCGACCUGAGAGGGUGAUCGGCCACACUGGGACUGAGACACGGCCCAGACUCCUACGGGAGGCAGCAGUAGGGAAUCUUCCGCAAUGGACGAAAGUCUGACGGAGCAACGCCGCGUGAGUGAUGAAGGUUUUCGGAUCGUAAAGCUCUGUUGUUAGGGAAGAACAAGUGCAAGAGUAACUGCUUGCACCUUGACGGUACCUAACCAGAAAGCCACGGCUAACUACGUGCCAGCAGCCGCGGUAAUACGUAGGUGGCAAGCGUUGUCCGGAAUUAUUGGGCGUAAAGGGCUCGCAGGCGGUUUCUUAAGUCUGAUGUGAAAGCCCCCGGCUCAACCGGGGAGGGUCAUUGGAAACUGGGAAACUUGAGUGCAGAAGAGGAGAGUGGAAUUCCACGUGUAGCGGUGAAAUGCGUAGAGAUGUGGAGGAACACCAGUGGCGAAGGCGACUCUCUGGUCUGUAACUGACGCUGAGGAGCGAAAGCGUGGGGAGCGAACAGGAUUAGAUACCCUGGUAGUCCACGCCGUAAACGAUGAGUGCUAAGUGUUAGGGGGUUUCCGCCCCUUAGUGCUGCAGCUAACGCAUUAAGCACUCCGCCUGGGGAGUACGGUCGCAAGACUGAAACUCAAAGGAAUUGACGGGGGCCCGCACAACCGGUGGAGCAUGUGGUUUAAUUCGAAGCAACGCGAAGAACCUUACCAGGUCUUGACAUCCUCUGACAACCCUAGAGAUAGGACUUUCCCUUCGGGGACAGAGUGACAGGUGGUGCAUGGUUGUCGUCAGCUCGUGUCGUGAGAUGUUGGGUUAAGUCCCGCAACGAGCGCAACCCUUGAUCUUAGUUGCCAGCAUUCAGUUGGGCACUCUAAGGUGACUGCCGGUGACAAACCGGAGGAAGGUGGGGAUGA
rnacentral:rRNA from 1 species